GAAAUGCGAUAAGUAGUGUGAAUUGCAGAAUUCAGUGAAUCAUCGAAUCUUUGAACGCACAUUGCGCCCUUUGGUAUUCCUUAGGGCAUGCCUGUUCGAGCGUCAUCUAAACCUUCAAGCCCUGCUUGGUGUUGGGUGCCUGUCCCGCCUCCGCGCGCGGACUCACCUCAAAUCUAUUGGCGGCCCCCGCGUCGGCCACGAGCGCAGCAGAAACGCGAACUCGUGAGCCCGUCCGGGCGGCUCCCAGAAGCUACACCCACCCAGUUUGACCUCGGAUCAGGUAGGGAUACCCGCUGAACUUAAGC
rnacentral:misc_RNA from 1 species